rnacentral:rRNA from 1 species
GACGAACGCUGGCGGCGUGCCUAACACAUGCAAGUUGAGCGACGAACCAGGGCUUGCCCUGGGGCAAAGCAGCGAACGGGUGAGUAACACGUGGGUAACCUACCCCGAUAACCGGGACAACCCGAGGAAACUCGGGCUAAUACCGGAUGUGCUCACUGGACUUCGGUUCAGUGCGUAAAGGAAGCUUCGGCCUCCGUAUCGGGAGGGGCCCGCGGCCCAUUAGUUUGUUGGUGAGGUAACGGCUCACCAAGACCGCGAUGGGUAGCUGGUCUGAGAGGACGAUCAGCCACACUGGGACUGAGACACGGCCCAGACUCCUACGGGAGGCAGCAGUGGUGAAUCUUGCGCAAUGCGCGAAAGCGUGACGCAGCAACGCCGCGUGGGGGAAGAAGGCCUUCGGGUUGUAAACCCCUUUCAGGAGGGACGAAGGUUCGGCGGUGAAUAGCCGUCCGGACUGACGGUACCUCCACAAGAAGCCCCGGCUAACUACGUG